rnacentral:lncRNA from 1 species
GUAGAGGGCUAAAUGGUGACAAGUUCAUCCUUGAUAUGAUUAGUUGUGAUGUGAUGCAUUUCAUGUUAUCAUAUGUUUUAAACGCUUUACUAUUCUGCUCACUGGGCUCUAGUAGCUCACCCCUCUCCCAAAUUCCCCAGGUUUGCAGGUACGGGUUAGACAGAGAAGUCAAGAAGAGUAAUGAAGUCUUAUGUAUGUAAUAGUUAGAAAGUGGAC